AUGAAUACCAUACGCGGUGCCGGAGAGGGCGACUCAACCACGCCAUUGUCCGCCGCGAGGGCUGCUGCCAGCUCUCGUGCUCGCUGCCUCGCACGGCAGGCACAUCGCACCAUACUUGCGUUCACCUCCGCCUUGUGGCAACACACCUCGCGCCGGAUCCAUGCGCCAACGGAUUCCCAGCGGAACGAGUCCAACCAAUGCCGUCGGGCUGCCUCCUCCCAGGAGCAUUGCAGCGCUAGGCGGACGACGAUCUCCUCCUCGGGGCCGCGUGGGAUGAGCUCCUGGUCAACGGAUCCGGGAGGUACGGGAGCUUGUGGGCGGAGGGAAGUGGAUUUCAGAGGAGGGGAGUGGAAUGCUGCUAGGGUUCGGAGAAGUGCUGAUAGGAUCCAACUUAUGUGGGGCCGGAUGGGCCAGCGUGGCCAAAUCCGACGUGGCAUGCACGUCCUAGCGUCCCAAUGCCCCCCAGAUAUGGGUUGGAUAUGGAGAGUGUCCGUCCGUCCUGGUGUUUGGACCGGAAAUGGGAUGCCCAAUUGGGUGACAUUUUUUGGUCCGAAGACCUGCGGACGGAUCGCAACCCUAGUGCACGAGGUGCUCGCCGGGGCGUGGAGGCGUCUGCAGCCUAGCUUCUCUGCCCGCUGCUACAUCAUGGGUGUCCUGGUUCUUGGUGUCCACCUCUUCGGUGCUGCAGUGCACGAGGUGCUCGCCGGGGCGUGGAGGCGUCUGCAGCCUAGCUUCUCUGCCCGCUGCUACAUCAUGGGUGUCCUGGUUCUUGGUGUCCACCUCUUUGGUGCUGCAGGUUUUCAUCUGUUUUCUUCACCGGCUGCUCCCUCUUCCCCUAAGGGUUAUAAUUCAUUCGUUUUAUUCCCUUUGUCUCGGCUUGUUGAUUACCAGCGCCAUGGCCGCCGCCGCCCUUUGCCAUCCGCGCCAGGCCGCCUCCCUCCUCCGCAAAUAUUUGCCAGCUGCCAUUCACACACGCACAUAGAGAGGAGAGAGCUCCGCGCGUCACGCCUCUACUUCCUCCCCGCCGCUGCUGCCCUUUGCCGUCCGCGCCAGAUUACCUCUGUAAUAGGCUGGGCAGGGCGGCAGGUUUGGCAGUCGGCCCGUGAUUGCAGCCGGACGAAAGGUUCUGGAGAACCAUCGGCCCAUAUCCCGCCGCCCCAACCCUCUCACCCUUUUCCCGGCGAGUCGCACCGCCCCAACCCUCUCCCACCCUCAUCUCGUAGCUCCCCUUCCCUUCAUCAUGCUCGGGCUCCCUCUCGCUUCUGCGGCCUGGACCCAUGUGGUUGGCAGAGCCGUGGCGGGGGAGCUUCACCGGCUACGUCGCCGUGGGUUCACAGGAGUGAAACGCCAGACUUUUUCGGGAGACGACGCUGUUGCGACGCCUCUCUGCCAUCACCGGUGCUGCCAUUUUCGUCGGGCGUAGCGUGCGACCCACAACAUUGGGGACACACCAGUUUCGUCGGUCGAUUCAGACCCAACUCCGUCCCCGCUUCUUCCCUCGAGCCAGCGAUGGCUGUUCUAUUCCAUUCCCCGUUUAAUUUUGAGUACUGGAGUCCAAGGCGAGCCCAACUAUGGCUGAGAAUGAGGGCCCAAGGCUGCUGUAGUGCUAGACGCUGUGGCCGUCUUCUCCCACGCGGGGGCCUGUCGCGCGCUUACCCGGGAGUGUCGACGGUGGGCACGACCUGUACUGCUUCCUGCUGGCCUCUCAAGGCCUCCUCCUGGUCCACAGCUACUCCGCGACUCCAAAUUGGCGGCAUUGAAAAAAGGCCUGUCUUUUUUGUGCUCGAAUUUCUUGCUUCUUCCCUGAUUGUUGGUGAAUGUUUGAUCCACAGACUUCUGAUCAUUCUGAACAAAUGCUUGAACUCUUUGUUGUUUCAUGUGAUUUUUGGAAGUUCAUUAGAUUUUGGAAAAGUAUCAGAUGAGACAAGCAAUGAAAUGGACUGUGUGGAUAAUCACAGGAAUGGUGUUCCGUGGAUAGGUCAUGCGUUGGAGAGGGAACGACAAGCUGCAGCAGCGAGAGGUCUUGCCUCUUUUCUGCUGUUCUUGCUUCUCCCCUAUGAUUUUUUAGUUGGUUGUCUUGGAGAGGAAACGACAAGCUGCAGCAGCCAGAGUAGUAGGAGCAGCAGCUUCAACUCCCACGUCUCUGAGAUUUGUUCUCCAGUUCAAACUAAGAGAUGCAUCACUAAUAUAGAUCAGGGUAUUCAGUACAGAAACAUUUUUGGGACUGCAUUUGAUGGUGCUUUUGUCACGAUAGUGGUAGAACUUAUUGCCCGUAAUGGAAGGAUGCAUUGCCGUAUCCAGUUUGGUUGCAACGUAUUGCAACGUAUGGCGAUCUUCAGGCUCCCGAACCUAUCAUGUUCCUUGCUGACGCCACAGCUGCGGGGUUCCAGCAGAAUCCGGCGCAACUUGCGCGGCCGAUGGGGCCAACGCCUUCUUCGGCCAGAACGACGGCAGCCCGGGCACCCAGAGUUCGGCAAUCCUAAAUGGCCCGGCGGAGGAGAAGGAGGCCGAGCGGAAGAUGGAGAUGUUUUCCGCCGGCGUUGGCGACCAGGGCGGGCUGCUCUCUUCAGUAACGGCGGUGACAUGGGCAUGCUCAACUCGGCCUUCCUCAAGGGCAUGGAGGAGGCCAACAAGUUCUUGCCGACCAACAACACCCUCCUCGAGGCCAUCCCUGGCAAGGAGCGCGGCUUCACCGUCAAGAAGGAGGUGGCGGAUGGAACACCGACGUCCGGCAAUGGCCGAGGCCGCAAAUACAGGUACGACGAGGACGACCUGGAGGCGGAGACCGCCAGGAGCAGCAAGCUGAUGAUGCCGGACAGCGAGGAGACCGGCGCCCGCGAGAUGUUCGACGAAAUAAUGCUGGAGGAGUACGAGGCAUGCAUGCAGGGGAUAGAGGAGCUGCGCCUCGCCAUGGACAGCAAGGCCAAGAAGAAGAACGGGAAGACGGCGCGCGCGAAGAAGAGCGAGGCGGUCGACCUGCUCACCAUGCUCAUCCACUGCGCGCAGGCCGUGGCCGCAGGCGACCGCCGGGGCGCGACGGAGCUGCUCAGGCAGAUCAAGCAGCACUCCGGGCCGACGGGAUACGCCACGUAG
rnacentral:rRNA from 1 species